rnacentral:rRNA from 1 species
GAUGAACGCUGGCGGCGUGCCUAAUACAUGCAAGUCGAGCGAACAGACGAGGAGCUUGCUCCUUUGAUGUUAGCGGCGGACGGGUGAGUAACACGUAGGUAACCUACCUAUAAGACUGGGAUAACUUCGGGAAACCGGAGCUAAUACCGGAUAAUAUUUCGAACCGCAUGGUUCGAUAGUGAAAGAUGGCUUUGCUAUCACUUAUAGAUGGACCUGCGCCGUAUUAGCUAGUUGGUAAGGUAACGGCUUACCAAGGCAACGAUACGUAGCCGACCUGAGAGGGUGAUCGGCCACACUGGAACUGAGACACGGUCCAGACUCCUACGGGAGGCAGCAGUAGGGAAUCUUCCGAAAUGGGCGAAAGCCUGACGGAGCAACGCCGCGUGAGUGAUGAAGGUCUUCGGAUCGUAAAACUCUGUUAUUAGGGAAGAACAAACGUGUAAGUAACUGUGCACGUCUUGACGGUACCUAAUCAGAAAGCCACGGCUAACUACGUG